rnacentral:lncRNA from 1 species
GUCUUUUUAGGGCCUCACCCUCGGCAUAUGGAAGUUCCCAGGCUAGGGGGGCGAAUCACAUCUACAGCUGCCAGCCUACGCCAGAGCCAGAGCCACGCAGGAUCCGAACCACAUCUGCGACCUACACCACAGCUCACGGCAACACUAGAUCCUUAACCCACUGAGCGAGGCCAGGGAUCGAACCUGCGUCCUCAUGGAUGCUAGUCAGAUUCGUUUCAUGCUGAGCCACAAUGGGAACUCCUUGGCUUCUUUUUCUUUCAUUAAAAGCAAACAGCAAGAACAACAAUAAAAACCAAAUUAUUUUGCAUCUGGACUCUUCUAGAAGUAACACCGCAGUCCCGAGGAGGAUCAGGUGGAAGAGGAAACGGUUUUAAGGACGACACCCAGACACACACACAGACUCAUUCAGCCAGGACCCGAGCCAAGCACAGGCGGAGGUUUUCAGCAGGUACCGAGAAUCGUCUUUCCCUCGGAUGGUGUCUUACGCUCUACCUCAGCAUAUGAAAUGCUUUACGUGUUCUGGCGAAAUUAGAGAAAAUAAAUAAAUCCAUAUCAGACCCAAGGAUGACAGAGGCAGAAAUUCCCAGGCCUGCUGACAUGACAUUUUCUUUCUUUCAAAAACCAAUGAUUUCCUCCCCCCACUGGCUCUUGACUCCACACUGGGCUUGAUAUUUUCAUCACACACAAGUCAGGAAAUCUGGAGUUAAUGUUCCCGGGGGCACUUGUCCCGUCAGCCUCUCGCAGAGCCUUGCACCUGGCUCGGUGAGCCUCCCAGCCCCGUUACAGCACGUCACCAUAUCAAAAAAUAGACCUCAAGUGUUACAAGAUAACACGGGCUUCUCGGGAGACACGCGCUCUGACCCACGUGAACACCGCAUGACACCUCCUGGCCUCCGCCAGCCAGGGGGAGCAGAGGGAUCCCCUUCCACAGAAAUGCUGCAGGCCUCCCUGGCUGGAAGGAUCAAGUCCAGUGUAUUUAUUUCACUCACCACAUGGCACAUGGCAAAGGAGAAUCCGCGAAUAAAAGCUACGUUCAGAUGGCAUUAUGCUUGAGAAUUUUAAACACACCAGUGAGGCGAAUCUCUUAGGGUUUUCAUACCAGGCAUACCUCUGACAGGCUCCAUAUAAAUAAUUCCUUUCAGC